rnacentral:rRNA from 1 species
UGGGGAAUAUUGCACAAUGGGCGGAAGCCUGAUGCAGCAACGCCGCGUGAGGGAUAACGGCCUUCGGGUUGNAAAACCUCUUUUAGCAGGGAAGAAGCGAGAGUGACGGUACCUGCAGAAAAAGCGCCGGCUAACUACGUGCCAGCAGCCGCGGUAAUACGUAGGGCGCAAGCGUUAUCCGGAAUUAUUGGGCGUAAAGAGCUCGUAGGCGGUCUGUCGCGUCUGCUGUGAAAACCCGAGGCUCAACCUCGGGCCUGCAGUGGGUACGGGCAGACUAGAUGCGGUAGGGGAGAUUGGAAUUCCUGGUGUAGCGGUGGAAUGCGCAGAUAUCAGGAGGAACACCCAUGGCGAAGGCAGAUCUCUGGGCCGUAACUGACGCUGAGGAGCGAAACGGGUGGGGAGCAAACAGGCUUAGAUACCCUGGUAGUCACCCCGCUAAACGUUGGGAACUAGUGUGGGGACCUUUCCACGGUCUGCCGUGACGCAGCUAACGCAUUAA